CGGCCGCGUCGACGCUGUCGUCAGCUCGUGUCGUGAGAUGUUGGGUUAAGUCCCGCAACGAGCGCAACCCUUGAUCUUAGUUGCCAUCAUUAAGUUGGGCACUCUAAGGUGACUGCCGGUGACAAACCGGAGGAAGGUGGGGAUGACGUCAAAUCAUCAUGCCCCUUAUGACCUGGGCUACACACGUGCUACAAUGGACGGUACAAAGAGCUGCAAGACCGCGAGGUGGAGCUAAUCUCAUAAAACCGUUCUCAGUUCGGAUUGUAGGCUGCAACUCGCCUACAUGAAGCUGGAAUCGCUAGUAAUCGCGGAUCAGCAUGCCGCGGUGAAUACGUUCCCGGGCCUUGUACACAGUCGACGCGGCCG
rnacentral:rRNA from 1 species